AUAACAAUAUAGGACUCUUUGAAGGGCCUGUAGUUGGAUUGAAUCCUUUAAAUCUUUUAUCAAGGAUAUAUUAGAGGCCAAGUCUGGUGCCACCAGCUGCUGUAACUCCAGCUCCAA
rnacentral:ncRNA from 1 species